rnacentral:lncRNA from 1 species
UCGUUUUUGCUUGUUGUUUUGCUAUUGUCCCUUUCUGCAGGUACGGAUGGUGACGUGGAGGUGUACGGGGGGUACGAAGGGUGUACGUGGUGAGGGCAACACAUGGGAGUGGCGGUGGCUAGCCAACAGCUAAGGUUUUGUUUUUGUUUAUUUUUGUUUUAGGGUUUAGUUUGGGUUAAGGCUAAUUUUGUUUUGGGCCAUAUUCGGGCAUUAGAAAUUUGGGUUGUAAUCUAGACUGAUUUAAUUAUUUUGUUUUAUUUUUGGUUUUUUUUGUUUCUGUAUAGGUCGGGGCAAAUUGGGCCUGUUACAGCUAGCAUGCCCUACUAGUGGUCCAUCACAUCCGCC